AAAUUGAAGAGUUUGAUCAUGGCUCAGAUUGAACGCUGGCGGCAGGCCUAACACAUGCAAGUCGAGCGGAAACGAGUUAUCAGAACCUUCGGGGGACGAUAACGGCGUCGAGCGGCGGACGGGUGAGUAAUGCCUAGGAAAUUGCCCUGAUGUGGGGGAUAACCAUUGGAAACGAUGGCUAAUACCGCAUGAUGCCUACGGGCCAAAGAGGGGGACCUUAGG
rnacentral:rRNA from 1 species